rnacentral:rRNA from 1 species
UACAGAGGUCCCAAGCGUUGUUCGGAUUCAUUGGGCGUAAAGGGUGCGUAGGCGGCGCGGUAAGUUGGGUGUGAAAUCUCGGGGCUUAACUCCGAAACUGCAUUCGAUACUGCCGUGCUUGAGGACUGGAGAGGAGACUGGAAUUUACGGUGUAGCGGUGAAAUGCGUAGAUAUCGUAAGGAAGACCAGUGGCGAAGGCGGGUCUCUGGACAGUUCCUGACGCUGAGGCACGAAGGCCAGGGGAGCAAACGGG